rnacentral:rRNA from 1 species
UUGAUCCUGGGCUCAGGACGAACGCUUGGCGGCAGGCUUAACACAUGCAAGUCGAGCGCCCCGCAAGGGGAGCGGCAGACGGGUGAGUAACGCGUGGGAACAUACCCUCCGGUUCGGAAUAGCUCAGGGAAACUUGGAUUAAUACCGGAUACGGCCUAGCGGCGAAAGAUUCAUCGCCGGAGGAUUGGCCCGCGUCUGAUUAGCUAGUUGGUGGGGUAAUGGCCCACCAAGGCGACGAUCAGUAGCUGGUCUGAGAGGAUGAUCAGCCACAUUGGGACUGAGACACGGCCCAAACUCCUACGGGAGGCAGCAGUGGGGAAUAUUGGACAAUGGGCGCAAGCCUGAUCCAGCCAUGCCGCGUGGGUGAUGAAGGCCUUAGGGUUGUAAAGCCCUUUCGGCGGGGAAGAUAAUGACGGUACCCGCAGAAGAAGCCCCGGCUAACUUCGUGCCAGCAGCCGCGGUAAUA